AAGAACAUUUGGAUGAAGACAAGUAAUUCAACUAUCCUUUUCCCCAGAGAGUCUACGGUGCUGCGAGUAGAUGAAAAGUUUUUGAAUGAAUGGACUUCGGAGUGGCUCGCUUGAACAACAGUAUGGCGAGACGGCUCACGCCCGUUAACGCGUUCAAGUGGCAUAUGAUAUGCAAAUUUGGGUGGCACCGCGGUUAUUCGUCCCGAUU
rnacentral:ncRNA from 1 species